rnacentral:lncRNA from 1 species
UUUUUGAGAAUAGAUAUUGUACUACCUGCUUCAUACAUUGAUACACUAUAACAAAAACGGUCUAUAGCGACACUUUUAAAUGUAGGUACAUGUCAAAAGUGCUGCUAGCUAAAAUUACCGAUACUUUUAAAAAGUGUUGCUAUAUGUGGGGUCGCUAGGUAUAUAGUGACAGUUAAAGAGUGUCGCUAUAAACUAAAAGAGUGCUGCUAAUUUACCAACACUUAUUUAAGCAUUUAGCAACCAUCGAAACUCUAUCUCGUUGGCUGCGGUGGCGGAGGAGGACGACAGAAAAGGCUCUUCGCCUAGAAUUUCAGUGGAUUGAGUGAAGAGAGAAUAAAAGAUGGUAAUUGAUUUUUCUUUUUUUUUUUUUCUUUUCUGUUUGUAAUCGGGUCAAAUGGACUGGGUGUGGUGGGUUGAGUAGAGUAAUCUUUUAUUUUUGGUUGGAUUGGGCUUUAUAUAUAGACAUUAGUAGAUAUUUUUUUAAGUUUUAGUAUAAAUGGGACACUUACUCAAAAGUGUCGCAAACAUGUGUCCCUAUAACCUAAUUCUGUUGUAGUGAUAGGAUGAAUUAGACUAUAGUGGUGAGGUAACUAGGGCCUCGGAA